rnacentral:rRNA from 1 species
UCGUACACGGUGCCAGCGGCCGCGGUAUGAGGUAGGGGGCGCGCGGUGUCCGGAAUGACUGGGCGUAAAGGGCGCGUAGGCGGGUCGUUAAGUCGUUUGUGAAAGACCGAUGCUCAACGUCGGAGCUGCAACGGAGACUGAGAGUCUGGAGUGGCGGAGAGGAGCGGUGAAUCCCUGGUGUAGCGGUGGAAUGCGUAGAGAUCAGGGGGAACACCGAUGGCGAAGGCACCGCUCUGGCCGAAGACUGACGCUGAGGCGCGAAAGCUGGGGGAGCGAACGGGAUUAGAUACCCCAGUAGUC